AUACGGAGGGUGCAAGCGUUACUCGGAAUCACGGGGCGUAAAGCGCGCGCAGGCGGUCUUUUAAGUUGGAUGUGAAAGCCUACGGCUCAACCGUAGAACUGCAUCCAAAACUAUUAGACUAGAGUGUGGGAGAGGAAGAUGGAAUUAGUUGUGUAGGGGUAAAAUCCGUAGAGAUAACUAGGAAUACCAAAAGCGAAGGCAAUCUUCUGGAACACUACUGACGCUGAGGCGCGAAAGCGUGGGGAGCAAACAGGAUUAGAAACCCGUGUAGUCC
rnacentral:rRNA from 1 species